UCAAGCCUCUUCCCACAUCCAUAGCCUCAAAACCCCUCCACUUCCUAACCCUAGCUGCCACAAACUUCCUCCCUCAUGCCUCCUCUUCUUCCCAACCCUAGACAAGCAACCCUAGAUCUUUUUUCCUCCAAACCAUAUAUGUCCAAGCCUUGAUCCAUCCCUCUCUAAAUUCUCAAAAUCCCACAUCCAAAAGCCUUAGGGAACCAUACGUCCAAGCCUCUACAACUUCAGCCCUCUUUCUUCCAUCAAAAAUUCCAGCAACCUAUCCCUUCUUUUUUUCUCUUCCAAAAUCUACUUUUCUCAGCCUAUUCUCCAUCAAAUCUCCUCUUCUUACUAUUGAAGAUCUUCUCCAAGUUUGUGGCAAGGCAUCUCUAGAGUUUAGGAUGCAAAUUGCAGUGAAGAAUCUCCUCAUUACUGGAGAGGAAGAAGGCUUUUGAGCGAUGCUUUGGGGAAGUCAAGAAUCAAGGUAGUACUGUAACUAUUAAGAGGUGCUGGUUGUAGGCUUGGUUUGGCCAUCAUGGUGGUGGACAUGGAGCUUCACUAACACUCUUUUCCCAUUUUUCUUUCUUUAUUCCUUUGUUCUCUUGUUAGGACCAUGUUUUAGAUCUUCUUAGUAUUGUUUAUGCUCUAUUUUGGCGUUCUAUGCCUAUGAGAGGAGCAAAUAG